rnacentral:misc_RNA from 1 species
GCCAACUGCACCCCACUCUCUUGAAGAAGAGAAGCUGUAUCCAUAGAAGAGUGUUGAUUGCCUAAUGCGAGAAGAGAUCUCAACAACAUAAUGGAACAGCAUCAUCAUUAGUGAAAUACUUGCGAGAGCAGCUUACUUGCAGUUGUGGAGAACAAGAAAUAUGCCCCAGUGAUGAGAAUCCACCAAAAAAUCUAACUUGCUUAUUACCCACCAGUGAAAUUUGGCAAGCAAGAGUAACUCAUAAAAAUGAAUCAUCCUAGAUUUACUUCACAGAUCAU